rnacentral:rRNA from 1 species
UAAAGUCGUAACAAGGUUUCCGUAGGUGAACCUGCGGAAGGAUCAUUAUUGAACUUUGAAUACUUGUGGCUUCGAGCUGUUGCUGGCCUCCUAACUGAGGCAUGUGCACGCUCAGG